AUGAAGCUAAGGCUGAACCACCUCGAGGACAUCGCCGUCCUCAGAGAGGCGAGGCGGGUCGAGCUCCUGCCUGCAUUCCGCCGCCUCGAGCGACUCGAGCUGCAAGGGGUGCACAGGCCGAAAGGCAAGACCGCGUCGGUGACCAUCGCGAACCUGCUCCGCCGCUGCCCCCUGCUUCGUGACCUCUGGAGCAACCUCACAGCGAAGGACCAAGAGGCCCGCAAAAAUUAUCAGCACGCACAUGAAUUCUUCGAAAGAAAAUUCCGAUACGACCGUGACAAAUCCAUGGAUUGUCUUGACCAUUGCCGCCGCGACUCGGAGCCGGACACGGUUUCCAAGGAAGGAGAAGGCGAUGGUGCUAACAAUGACGAAGUUUCUGAAAUUCCUGGCUUGAGUCGCUCGUUCGAAUGCUUGCAGAGCUCACUGAGGAGAGUGUGCCUGCAAUUCCAGUUGGAGAAGUCCAACUGUCUCGGUCUCCAGCUGAUCAAAUUCUUCGCCGAGAACGCCAUGGUCCUUGAAGAAAUGCAUAUCGAUGUUGGGAACAGAAAGCUGUGGGAGCACAUGAAUAGCAAGGUCGAAGCAUGGAUAGCCAAUUCAUGCAAAAGAAAGCCAGGAGCGCCAAGCUUUGUAGUCUUACCCCUAAAGAGAUGGCUAUACAAAGAAUGA
rnacentral:rRNA from 1 species